AACGGCCAGUACCGAACAGGACGCUCUUAAUGAGGCAGCCAGUAACCUGCAGGCCGCCAGUAUUGAGGCAGCCAGUACCUGGAGGCCGAAAUUACGGAGGCAACUAGUAGCCUGGAGGCGGCCACGAUCGCGGCAGUCCUACCCUGAAGGCCGCCAUUAAUGAGGCAGUUAUUGAGUACCGGGAGAUGCAGCGCCGGUUGGAGACCUGGGAUUUAAGGAAUUUCCGUGGGUGAUGAUGAUGGAGAGGACAAGACGCAUGAUCCGGCUUUACAGAAUAGAAAGUCAAGCCUCAAAGAGAGGGACGUUACUUCUAUGCACGUUUGCCAAGAACCGCAGGGCCGAGAGGGCCCUGACCGGCUGUGAAGGGGCCACGCUACCGCCGAGGAUCUGACGGAGAGGGCGAGUCGGGGAUUCCUGACGCGCCUUCACGUUCCCCCGCUCCCCCCCACUCCUCCACCGGUGACCCGUGGGUUUUCCAUUUAUCGCCCUUUUCCGGGGCAAGAAAAAGUGGUGGCAGGGCCGGAAGCGCGGUAGCCCUUGGGUUCGAGACGACGGCGCCGUUUAAGGCAGAGCGAGCGUCCUGGUAAUAUUGGAGCCGCUAGAUUCUUCACCCGGGCUCCGGCCCAAAUUGGAGAAAACCUACAAUGUUUUGGCGGCCUAUGGAAGGGCGCUGAGGGUCACAAAGCAUAGGGUGCCCAUCGAAAACGCCAAGCCUCCCAGGGCCACCGGAAGCCCCGCCCCUGGGCGGGGUCAGACAGCCUCUGGGAGGAAAGAAGUGAAGCCCCGCCCGUGGGCGGGGUCAGACAGCCUCAGGGCCACCGGAAGCCGCGCCCCUGGGCGGGGUCAGACUCUGGGAGGAAAGAAGCGAAGCCCCGCCCCGCGGCGGAGCGCGCCUGCCAUGGCUGAGCCCCCCGGCGCCCGCUCCGCUGCCCUGCGCUUAGCUGCCGCAGCCAGCUGGAGGGCCGUGCGCGGACGCUACGUGGAAUACUUUCCGCGAGUGCUGGAGUUUCUGCGGUGUCUGCGCGCUGCUGCUCCCGGCUUGGUUCGCUACCGCCACCACGAGCGCCUGUGCAUGGGCCUAAAGGCCAAGGUGGUGGUGGAGCUGAUCCUCCAGGGCCGGCGUUGGGCCCACGUUCUGAAUUCCUUGUAUCUCCACUUUCCAGUGUCUGGACCUACUGUCGUGCGGGACCCCAAAGCUACAGAACAGGAUCUGAAGAUCAUCUCCGAGGCACAGGAAGCCUUUCGCCAGCAGGUGAAGCUGCUGGCAGAGGCCCCUGAGGAUUUGGAUUGGAAGUUGCUGGAACUUGAACAAGAGUAUGGGGAGCCCUUUCUAUCUGCCAUGGAAAAGCUAUUUUUUGAAUACUUGUGUCGGCUGGAAAAAGCACUGCCUACCCCCCACACAGAGCAGCUUCAGGAUGUGCUGAGCUGGACGAAGCCUGGGAUUUCUAUCACAUCUUCUUUUGCUUUGAGCCAAUAUAGUGUGGACAUGGGGUGGCCACUUCCAGAGUGCUCUGUGACUAAUUCAGUGAACAUGUCAGAGUCCGUGGAGCCCAGUCCUCCUCAGCAGCCAAGACCAGCACUCCAUCAGCCUGUGCCAAAAAGCAACUCUGGCCCACACCAUCCUCAGGGACCAGCCUCAAGAAAGCACCCAGAACCUUUGGCUGGCCACCACUUCAAUUUGGCUCCUCUAGGCCAGCGAAAAACCCACGCCCAGUGGACAUCCACGAGGAACAGGAAAGAACAACGGACACACACAGCAGUUCCAGCAGGUGAUGUGGGCACGAAAGCAGCCUCCACUGGAAAGUCUAGGAGUCCAUCCCAGACCCUGGGUGGAAAGACUGUGAAGGAGAACCCAGCUGACUUGUCCGCCUCGGAGCAAAAGUGUGUCCUCCAUCUCUGUGCAGCCCUGUCAUGACCAGAGGGGACUUGGUUUUGGACUCUGAUGAGGAGGAAAAUGGCCAGAGUGGAGGAAUGGUGUCUCUGCAAAACUAUGAGAAGACAAAGUUUGACACCCUAGUCCCCACCUUCUGUGAAUACCUCCCCUCUCAAAGUCCCAGUGCUAUGUCUGCCCCUUCCCAUGACCAUGUAGGCUCCUCUGAUAGGACCAGAAUGCCAUCUCAUCUUCCCUGUCUCCUUCCUCCUCACCUCUGCAGGCCAUUUGGUGGGGAUAAAGUGGAAGCCCAGCCUUGGGUUGCUUGACUCUGUGGCCCAAAUUACUUUGUAAUGCUUGAUCAUUAAACUUUGUAUUUGUUAAAA